UGCCUCAGACAUGCAAGUCGAACGAUUAAACUUUCCUUCGGGAAAGAUAUAAAGUGGCGCACGGGUGAGUAACACGUAAGUAAUCUGCCUUUGAGUGGGGAAUAACAAUCGGAAACGAUUGCUAAUACCGCAUAAUGCAGCGGCACCGCAAGGUGACAGUUGUUAAAGGAGCAAUCCGCUUGAAGAGGAGCUUGCGGCAGAUUAGCUAGUUGGUAAGGUAACGGCUUACCAAGGCUACGAUCUGUAUCCGGUCUAAGAGGACGGUCGGACACACUGACACUGAAUAACGGGUCAGACUCCUACGGGAGGCAGCAGUCGGGAAUUUUGGGCAAUGGGCGAAAGCCUGACCCAGCAACGCCGCGUGAAGGAUGAAGUAUUUCGGUAUGUAAACUUCGAAAGAAUAGGAAGAAUAAAUGACGGUACUAUUUAUAAGGUCCGGCUAACUACGUGCCAGCAGCCGCGGUAAUACGUAGGGACCAAGCGUUGUUCGGAUUUACUGGGCGUAAAGGGCGCGUAGGCGGCAAUUCAAGUCAUCUGUGAAAUCUCCGGGCUUAACUCGGAACGGUCAGAUGAUACUGCUUUGCUAGAGU
rnacentral:rRNA from 1 species